rnacentral:rRNA from 1 species
UUUUCCUACGGGACGCAGCAGUGGGGAAUAUUGGGCAAUGGGCGCAAGCCUGAACCAGCAACGCCGCGUGAAGGAAGAAGGCUUUCGGGUUGUAAACUUCUUUUGUCAGGGACGAAGCAAGUGACGGUACCUGACGACUAAGCCACGGCUAACUAAGUGCCAGCAGCCGCGGUAAUACGUAGGUGGCAAGCGUUAUCCGGAUUUAUUGGGUGUAAAGGGCGUGUAGGCGGAAAUGCAAGUCAGAUGUGAAAAUUAUGGGCUCAACACAUUGCCUGCAUUUGAAACUGUAUUUCUUG